CCGGGUGUGUGUUCACAGUGUGUGUGUGUGUUCACUGCUCUGUGUGUGUGCACUUCGGAUGGGUUAAAUGCAGAGCACAAAUUCUGAGUAUGGGUCACCAUACUUGGCUGAAUGUCACGUCACUUUCACUUUUUUUUAGUGCUCCAUGCACUAAUGCCACUGUAUUAAGUUCCUCUCUAUGUUUCCUUUUAACCAGACUCAUUUGCCUCAGAAUGUGCAUGCAAGCACCUCUUUACAUAAAGUUCUCACACACUGGUCACUAUGGGUUGAGCGGGGUUGGGUAGAUAAAUACACAUGUAUGAGAAUUGGGAAGGGUGAGACCAAUUCUGCAUGGAUACACCGAACAUCUAUUAUACAGUCUCUGGGCCAUAGCCCCAACAACAAUCGAUCAUGUCCCAAUCAGCCUGUAAGGAAUGAACAACCAACACCAACUGAGACAAUAGUGGAAAGCUGCAAGACGAGAACAACAAGCAACUCCACAUUUGAUAUACGAGAAAUACUUAGAAAAUCUGGAGGACCAGCGUUAAUAACAUCCUUAGAAAGGGACAGGCACCUAAGCCUCAAGGAGAGACGUCAGAUGGUGCGGUUGUUGGUUUCUCAUUUGAUGGAAAGAUUUGGGAAAAACCCAACAGCUGAGAUCAAAAAGGAGAUGGCUCUGGCGCUAACUUGCCAGUUUCCUUGUCUGAAAAAUAGUGAGGGACAUGGAUAUGAGGCAUGGUAUACACCUGGUCGUUAUCUUCACCCUGUAACUGGGUAUUUAGAAGAAAGACUGCCAGCCACAGUAAUCUCAGAAUUCCUCUUCUCGACCAAGUUUUCCACUGCCAGAGUCUGAGUUGUCUUUGACUGACAUUCACACAAUGAUUGAGUGGCUAAAGAACAACAGAAGCGCUCACAGUCAAGUGGAGGAGUUCAUGAAACGUACAGCACCCCCAUCGGGCUGCAUGGAUUCGAACUUCUGGAACAAAAACUAUUGAGGAAAUCAACAGAGAAUAUCCUAGACUUUGUGACAUUCCUGGAAUGGCGAGUAUAAUGAUAUAUCGCAGGACUUUAAAGUUAUAUUCCCUGACCAGGCGGACCGCCUUUAUGAAUUCUGGGCUCCUGUCAUCACUGACCGGAUUUUACUCUUUGCAAAGAAAGAACCCAAGGCUUCAGAUGUUCUUCCAGAAAAUCUGGAAACACUGGCAAUAGGUGUUCGUGCAGAAAUUGCCUUUAAAACCCUUCCUGCCAUCCUGCCAUCUUCACCAUACCGCACAAAUGGAAAAAUGGUGUGCCCAACAUACACAGAAAUGAAGCAGUCCUUCAUUGACAUUCAACCUGUUGGCACUAAUAUAGUGCAGUACUUGAACCACGAGGCAAGCCAGAAUCCACAGGUCCUGGUGCUUGGUGACAAGGAAGACUCUUCCCAAGUUUUUAUUAUUUUCAACGGGGAGGCGAUGGAACAGGAGACACUACUACAAGCAGUCGAUCUGUGUUUCAAACUUUUCUUUGUAUAUGACAUCAACUACCCAAAGCCCUCUGCUCCCAUUUGGGAGUUUUUGGAGCACACAGUCUUUAAUAUUCCAGGUGGAGUUCCUUCUGCACACUGCCUCCUCCUAAAAAACUUUGUAUUUAGUAAUCAGUAAAAAAAAAAAUUAUUU
ensembl:lncRNA